GCGGAGGAAAAGAAAAUAACAAUGAUUUCCUUAGUAACGGCGAGUGAACAGGAAAGAGCUCAAAGUUGGAACCCGUUUGGUUUAGCCAAACUGGAUUGUAAACUGUAGAAGUGUUUUCCUGGCACGCCUGAUGAAAAAGUCCAUUGGAACAUGGUGACAUAGAGGGUGAGAGCCCCGUAUUUCGUCAGAGCUGUUGUCUUUUGUGAUACACUUUCAAAGAGUCAGGUUGUUUGGGAAUGCAGCCUAAAUUGGGUGGUAAAUCUCACCUAAAGCUAAAUAUUGGCAAAAGACCGAUAGCGAACAAGUACCGUGAGGGAAAGAUGAAAAGAACUUUGAAAAGAGAGUUAAACAGUAUGUGAAAUUGUUAAAAGGGAACCGUUUGGAGCCAGACUGGCUUGAUUGUAAUCAAUCUAGAUUUCGAUCUGGAUGCACUUGCAGUCUAUGCCUGCCAACGACAAUUCAUUCUGGAGGAAAAAACUAGGAGGAAUGUGGCCCCUCGGGGUGUUAUAGCCUCUUAGAAAAUACUCUGGGUUGGAUUGAGGAACGCAGUGGAUGCUAUUUGGCGAAGUUGCUGAGUGCUUUUACUGGUACGUGCUAGAAUUUCUGCUUCGGGUGGUGCUAGUAUUUACCGGUGAAACUCGCUUGGUAAUCUUUUUAUCCGCUUAGGUUGUUGGCUUAAUGACUCUAAAUGAC
rnacentral:rRNA from 1 species